UACGUAGGGUGCGAGCGUUACUCGGAAUUACUGGGCGUAAAGCGUGCGCAGGCGGUUCGUUAAGUCAGCUGUGAAAGCCCCGGGCUCAACCUGGGAACGGCGGUUGAAACUGGCGAACUAGAAUCUGGCAGAGGGGGGUGGAAUUCCACGUGUAGCAGUGAAAUGCGUAGAGAUGUGGAGGAACACCGAUGGCGAAGGCAGCCCCCUGGGCUGAGAUUGACGCUCAGGCACGAAAGCGUGGGGAGCAAACAGG
rnacentral:rRNA from 1 species